rnacentral:rRNA from 1 species
CCUACGGGAGGCAGCAGUGAGGAAUAUUGGUCAAUGGACGGGAGACUGAACCAGCCAAGCAGCGUGAGGGAGGAAGGUACAGAGGAUUGUAAACCUCUUUUGUAAGGGAAUAAAGACAGGGACGCGUGCCUGGAUGAGUGUACCUGAAGAAAAAGCAUCGGCUAACUCCGUGCCAGCAGCCGCGGUAAUACGGAGGAUGCGAGCGUUAUCCGGAUUUAUUGGGUUUAAAGGGUGCGUAGAUGGGCUGUUAAGUCAGUGGUGAAAGUUCGCGGCUCAACCGUAAUAUGGCAAUUGAAACGGGGAGGCUGGAGUACAGUUGAGGUAGGCGGAAUUCGUGGUGUAGCGGUG